GAUCAAAUCAAGUGUUUGAUAAUUUUGUAUAUCUGUAACAGGCACCAUGGGACUUAUGGAACAGUUUACCAGGAGUUGGAGCCCAGUUGCAGGAGAUGGUACAGGAGGAGGCAAAAUCCAAAACACAGUACAGAUUAAGGGGAAAUCCAAAGGCAGGGUCAGAUGAGAAGCAGAAGUCAGGGCUGGCAACGGAGUAACAAAGUCGGUAAAUCAGGCAGAGGUCAAAGUCCAGGAAAUCAGUCAGUAGCAAAUCAAAGAUCCGUCAGGAAACACCAAACAGGCAAAAUGACCAGAUACUAGCUUCCAGGCACAGCUGGCUUUUACAGCCUGCUAAUGUCUCACUGCAGCUGGCCCUAAUUGGAAAAGGGUUGCUGGUGGAUCAGUGCUGCUAAAUGGUGGAUGUCAUGGCAGAGAACCUGACUGGGAUGCUGGAGCUGUGAGUUCAAACACAACCAGGUCUCUUAAAGGGGCUGUCAAAAUUGUUAAAUUAAUGCAUGCUUCCCAAAGUUAUUACACACAAGUUUCAGGUUAAUGAAAAACUUGAGGAAAAGUUUAAUCAUAGGCCAGUAUGCCCCUUAAGCAAGAAUACAUCAUAUGCAUAAUCAGAGAAAAUACAUCAAUAAUUGGUUAAGUGAUCACUCCCAUCAUGAGAUUCUCCUCCACAUUCCAGUGCCAUCUUAAUUGAGGUGGUUAGUCAAUGGGCAGGAUCAUUAUUAUUAACACCCUAGAGGCCAUUUUAAGUAGCUUAUAAUACUGAUUAUAGUUAUGCAGAGUAAAUAGGCAUUUUACUAAAGUUAAUAUUCUGUCCACAACAGCAGUCACAUGAUAAAUAUGCAGAAUAUAAAAGUAAAGUACAAUUAAAAUUAAAUUAAAAAAAUAAUUUUCAUUACAUAUUCAGUUUCAUGUAAAUCUAC